AUUGAACGCUGGCGGCAUGCCUAACACAUGCAAGUCGAGCGGAUGCAGGGAGCUUGCUCCUGGAUUCAGAGGCGGACAGGUGUGUAAUGCCUAGGAGUCUGCCUCCCAUUGGGGGAUAACGUCCGCGAACGGGCGCUAAUACCGCACACUUUCCUAUCGAGAAAGAGGGGGAUCUUCGGACCUCACGCCAUCAGAUGAGCCUAGGUGGGCUUAGCUAGUUGGUGGGUGAAUGGCCUCCCAACGCGACGAUCCGUAACUGGUCUGAGAGGAAGAUCCGUCACACGGGAACUGAGACACGGUCCAGACUCCUACGGGAGGAAGCAGUGGGGAAUAUUGGACAAUGGGCGAAAGCCUGAUCCAGCCAUGCAGCGUGUGUGAAGAAGGUCUUCGGAUUGUAAAGCACUUUAAGUUGGGAGGAAGGGCAGUAAGUUAAUACCUUGCUGUUUUGACGUUACCAACAGAAUAAGCACCGGCUAACUUCGUG
rnacentral:rRNA from 1 species